UACGUAGGGGGCAAGCGUUGUUCGGAAUUACUGGGCGUAAAGAGCUCGUAGGUGGUUUGUCGCGUUGUCCGUGAAAACUCACAACUCAAUUGUGGGCGUGCGGGCGAUACGGGCAGGACCUGGAGUACUGCAGGGGAGACUGGAAUUCCUGGUGUAGCGGUGAAAUGCGCAGGAUAUCAGGAGGAACGACCGGUGGCGAAGGCGGGUCU
rnacentral:rRNA from 1 species